AACCUGAGACCAGCAUGGCCUCCACCACACAGCCUGAUGACACUGCACCAGCCUAUCAGUCUGCUCCAGCCCAGGUCAACCUACCAGCCUCUCAGUCUGCUCCAGCCCAGGUCAACCUACCAGCCUCUCAGUCUGCUCCAGCCCAGGUCAACCUACCAGCCUCCCAGUCUGCUCCAGCCCAGGUCAACCUACCAGCCUCCCAGUCUGCUCCAGACUCCCAGUCUGCUCCAGCCCAGGUCAACCUACCAGCCUCCCAGUCUUCUACAUCCCAGGUCAACCAACCAGCCUCCCAGUCUGCUCCAGCCCAGGUCAACCAACCAGCAUCCCAGUCUGCUCCAGCCCAGGUCAACCUACCAGCCUCCCAGUCUGCUCCAGCCCAGGUCAACCUACCAGCCUCCCAGUCUGCUCCAGACUCCCAGUCUGCUCCAGCCCAGGUCAACCUACCAGCCUCCCAGUCUUCUACAUCCCAGGUCAACCAACCAGCCUCCCAGUCUGCU
ensembl:lncRNA